GGGCCCGCACAAGCGGUGGAGUAUGUGGUUUAAUUCGAUGAUACGCGAGGAACCUUACCAGGGCUUAAAUGUAGUGGGACAGGUCUAGAGAUAGACCCUUCUUCGGACUCAUUACAAGGUGCUGCAUGGUUGUCGUCAGCUCGUGCCGUGAGGUGUCAGGUUAAGUCCUAUAACGAGCGCAACCCCUAUCGUUAGUUGCCAGCGAGUAAUGUCGGGAACUCUAGCGAAACUGCCGGUGCAAACCGAGAGGAAGGUGGGGAUGACGUCAAAUCAUCACGGCCCUUACGUCCUGGCUACACACGUGCUACAAUGGGUAGAACAAUAAGUUGCUAAGUUGCGAAACCAAGCG
rnacentral:rRNA from 1 species